AAUAAAGUGCCUGAAUAAAGGAUUAUUCUGAUAGGAUAAAUAAUGUAGAAAUCUACCUUUAUUA
rnacentral:tRNA from 1 species